UUUAUUUUUCAACUUUUCAUUUGUAAAAAUAAAUGAAAAAGGUAAAAAAAAAUCAUUUUCUACAUUCUUUCCCUCCUUUUAAAAGAGAAGAAAUGAGAAAUCCCCUGUGGAGGAUUCCACUGCAAGCUUUGAGCACUGAAGAAGAAGAACGGCACAUUACUAACUUUCUCUGUAAACUCCAUUAAAAAACUCUCUUUUUCCUCUCCAGAUGGCCCGAAACAGGGAGGGUUUGAUUUUGGUGAUUGAUGUGAGCCCUUCAAUGCAUUCUGUUCUUCCUGAAAUUGAGAAGGUUUGCUCCGUGUUAGUGGAAAAGAAGUUGAUUUACAGCAAAUAUGAUGAAGUAAGAGUUAUUUUAUUUGGGACAA